UUUCAACCUGACUCAGUAUAUUUUACGUCUGUAUUGUAACAGGAUUGGUUAUAUAUCUGUAGAUUUAUUUUUUGAUAAAACAAAUUUAACGUCAACUUAAAUCACACUCUUAACAGCUGGUAUUGCGGAUAAUCAUGUCCGCAGUCGUGUGUGAAUUUAUAUUUAAGCUAUUCGUCGCGUAUCUCUGUUUUCUGAAUCUGGCGAACAUAACAGCGAAGCGAGCUUUCACACUAACCAGCCAGUAUAAGAAAUUUUUGGGUAUACCCUAUGGAACGGAACAGAUUCUGGAGAUUCAUGAACGCGAAUAUCAAUACACGUUGCCUGCAAUAGCCGCCGUGUUGGCCUGCAUGGGUUGUGAUACCAUACAUUCGUUAUGUUUUCUAUUUGCAUCCGAGGAGUUUCAGCAUCGUCUGUGGCAUUUGAUGAUCAAGCUUUUUUGGAUUUCAAAAAGUCUGUGGUUAUUUCUUUACAUAGCAGGCUUCACCUCGAUUCUACGAUCCCAUCAUGAGCUAUACUUGAUCACACAUGGACUGCAGCUGGAGAAUGUCGAUGACUUGUUAAUUAGUUUCAAAUUUCAGUUCGUUUGGCAAACAGUUGUCUUCAUAUUCGCAAUUAUAUGCUGGCUGGAAGAGGACACUCUCACCAAAAACUAUUACAAGCUCUUGAUGUACGAGCGCGACUAUCAGAUUUGAGAAUACAUCACAACAUGCGCUUGUGGCCAGUUUUCAAGUGGUGUCCGAUUGCGAGUGCCUUCCAUCAGCAAAAUUUGAAAUGAAAACGUGGCAGCACAUUUUGUUGAACUCAGCAUUUAUCAACGCCGUUGCAUUUCUGGAUCGAAAACAUUCUUCAAGGCAGUCUUCUUUACAUGCUAGCACAACGCAGGCGCGGCAUCGGGAACAAUUCAGUUGUCUUUAGAGCGUUCAUCAAGAACGGUUACGGAAACGAAUUGCGUUACAAAAGAUUGUCUCAAAUUUAUAUUUUAUUAAAAUGUGAGUAAAUGUAACUGCCUGACGAAAAUGUAUUUGUUUAAAUGAACAUCAAAUAAACGCAAUAGUAAAUACACUUA